UGGGGAAUCUUGCACAAUGGGGGCAACCCUGAUGCAGCGACGCCGCGUGAGCGAUGAAGCCCUUCGGGGCGUAAAGCUCUUUCGACCGGAACGAUAAUGACGGUACCGGGAGAAGAAGCUGCGGCUAACUACGUGCCAGCAGCAGCGGUAAUACGUAGGCAGCAAGCGUUGUUCGGAGUUACUGGGCGUAAAGAGUGCGUAGGCGGUUUUCUAAGUUCGGUGUGAAAUCUCCCGGCUUAACUGGGAGGGUGCGCCGAAGACUGGGAUGCUGGAGUGUGGUAAAGGCGGGCUGAAUUCCUGGUGUAGCGGUGAAAUGCGUAGAUAUCAGGAGGAACACCGGCGGUGUAGACGGCUUGCUAGACCAUAACUGACGCUGAGGCACGAAAGCGUGGGUAGCAAACA
rnacentral:rRNA from 1 species